rnacentral:rRNA from 1 species
GACGAACGCUGGCGGCGUGCUUAACACAUGCAAGUCGAGCGGUAAGGCCCUUCGGGGUACACGAGCGGCGAACGGGUGAGUAACACGUGAGCAAUCUGCCCAUCACUUUGGGAUAACUUCGGGAAACCGAAGCUAAUACCGGAUAUGACCACUUCUCGCAUGGGAUGGGGGUGGAAAGUUUUUCGGCCAGGGAUGUGCUCGCGGCCUAUCAGCUUGAUGGUGAGGUAAUGGCUCACCAUGGCUUCGACGGGUAGCCGGCCUGAGAGGGUGACCAGUCACACUGGGACUGAGACACGGCCCAGACUCCUACGGGAGGCAGCAGUGGGGAAUAUUGGGCAAUGGAGGAAACUCUGACCCAGCGACGCCGCGUGAGGGAUGAAGGCCUUCGGGUUGUAAACCUCUUUCAGUAGGGAAGAAGCGAAAGUGACGGUACCUACAGAAGAAGCACCGGCUAACUAUGUGCCAGCCGCCGCGGUAACAC